rnacentral:rRNA from 1 species
UACGUAGGGUGCAAGCGUUAAUCGGAAUUACUGGGCGUAAAGCGUGCGCAGGCGGUUUUGUAAGGCUGUCGUGAAAUCCCCGGGCUCAACCUGGGAAUGGCGAUGGUGACUGCAAGGCUAGAGUUUGGCAGAGGGGGGUAGAAUUCCACGUGUAGCAGUGAGAUGCGUAGAUAUGUGGAGGAACACCGAUGGCGAAGGCAGCCCCCUGGGUCAAAACUGACGCUCAUGCACGAAAGCGUGGGGAGCAAACAGG